GGAGGGGUUCCCGUGCGGCCAUAGGGAUCAGACUGUAAAUAUGACGUCUUGGUCUUGGAUGGUUCGAAUCCUUCCCCCUCCACCA
rnacentral:tRNA from 1 species